GGAGCUACCAUUUGAUUUUUAUGGGGGGGCUAGGAUGAAAUUUGAAAAAAAUAUGCAGGACAGGAAUUUUGAGUAAAAAAAAAGGCAGGAUGAGACACUUGCAAAAAAAAAAAGUCAGGAUGACAAUUUAGGUACAAAAAAAUUGGGAUAAAUUUAAAAAAAAAAGGCAGGACCGAAUAGAGUGAAAAAUAAAAAGGCAGGACAGAGAUUACAACUAAAAAAAAAUGCAGGACAAAAUUUUUCAUCCUAGCCCCCCCAUGAAAAUCAAAUGGUAGCUUCCUAAG
rnacentral:lncRNA from 1 species